rnacentral:tRNA from 1 species
GAGAGAUGGCUGAGUGGUCUAAGGCGCACGACUGGAAAUCGUGUGUACGUUAAUAGCGUACCAUGGGUUCAAAUCCCAUUCUCUCC